GACGAACGCUGGCGGCGUGCUUAACACAUGCAAGUCGAACGGAAAGGUCCUGCUUGCAGGGUACUCGAGUGGCGAACGGGUGAGUAACACGUGGGUGAUCUGCCCUGCACUUCGGGAUAAGCCUGGGAAACUGGGUCUAAUACCGGAUAGGAGCCAUUUUUAGUGUGAUGGUUGGAAAGUUUUUUCGGUGUAGGAUGAGCUCGCGGCCUAUCAGCUUGUUGGUGGGGUAAUGGCCUACCAAGGCGGCGACGGGUAGCCGGCCUGAGAGGGUGGACGGCCACAUUGGGACUGAGAUACGGCCCAGACUCCUACGGGAGGCAGCAGUGGGGAAUAUUGCACAAUGGGCGCAAGCCUGAUGCAGCGACGCCGCGUGGGGGAUGACGGCCUUCGGGUUGUAAACUCCUUUCGCUAGGGACGAAGCUUUUUGUGACGGUACCUAGAGAAGAAGCACCGGCUAACUACGUG
rnacentral:rRNA from 1 species